ACCAUGCUUUUUCUCCCGCAGCCAUUGGCUGCCCCAUCUGUUUCCUGCCUCCGAGUGGAAUUAAUUGAGGAGGGAUGUUUUCUGGAUCUUUCGGAUUUGCCAUCUCCUCUACCCCCCUGCCCAAUUAUGGAUAUCCAGAGGCACUCUCUUGAGAUGGCCCUUAAGACACUAUCAAGGACGACAGCCUUAUGGGAACAGCGAGAGCUGCCCAACGGACGUGUCUAUUAUGUUGACCACAAUACCAAGACCACCACCUGGGAGCGGCCCCUUCCUCCAGGCUGGGAAAAACGCACAGAUCCCCGAGGCAGGUUUUACUAUGUGGAUCACAAUACUCGGACCACCACCUGGCAGCGUCCGACCGCGGAGUACGUGCGCAACUAUGAGCAGUGGCAGUCGCAGCGGAAUCAGCUCCAGGGGGCCAUGCAGCACUUCAGCCAAAGAUUCCUCUACCAGUCUUCGAGUGCUUCGACUGACCAUGAUCCCCUGGGCCCCCUCCCUCCUGGCUGGGAGAAGAGACAGGACAAUGG
rnacentral:sRNA from 1 species